rnacentral:lncRNA from 1 species
GUCAAAAUAAGCAUUUCAUAGCUUUUUCAGUUUUGAUGCAUAAGUGGCAUUCUGACUUUCUAUCUGACAUGUUUUCAUGUGUCAAUUUUUGUGUUUCUAUGCUUUAAUCCAGUUUUAUUACUCAUGUGUGAACUCUGAAUCUACAGAAAAGAAGAUUAUCUCAGACAAUAUGAGCAAAAUGUGUUGUAUAAAUGACCCUUGCC